rnacentral:rRNA from 1 species
AGUGAACGCUGGCGGUAGGCCUAACACAUGCAAGUCGAACGGCAGCACAGUAAGAGCUUGCUCUUACGGGUGGCGAGUGGCGGACGGGUGAGGAAUACAUCGGAAUCUACUUUUUCGUGGGGGAUAACGUAGGGAAACUUACGCUAAUACCGCAUACGACCUACGGGUGAAAUCAGGGGAUCUUCGGACCUUGCGCGAUUGAAUGAGCCGAUGUCGGAUUAGCCAGUUGGCGGGGUAAAGGCCCACCAAGGCGACGAUCCGUAGCUGGUCUGAGAGGAUGAUCAGCCACACUGGAACUGAGACACGGUCCAGACGCCUACGGGAGGCAGCAGUGGUGAAUAUUGGACAAUGGGCGCAAGCCUGAUCCAGCCAUACCGCGUGGGUGAAGAAGGCCUUCGGGUUGUAAAGCCCUUUUGUUGGGAAAGAAAAGCAGCAGGUUAAUACCCCGCUGUUCUGACGGUACCCAAAGAAUAAGCACCGGCUAACUUCGUG